UACGAAGGGGGCUAGCGUUGUUCGGAAUCACUGGGCGUAAAGAGCGUGUAGGCGGCCCGGUAAGCCCGCUGUGAAAGUCCAGGGCUCAACCCUGGGAUGCCGGUGGAUACUGUCGGGCUCGAGUCCGGAAGAGGAGUGUGGAAUUCCUGGUGUAGCGGUGAAAUGCGCAGAUAUCAGGAAGAACACCCGUGGCGAAGGCGGCUCUCUGGGACGGUACUGACGCUGAGACGCGAAAGCGUGGGGAGCGAACAGG
rnacentral:rRNA from 1 species